rnacentral:tRNA from 1 species
AGAGGGUUAGCUUAGUAGGUAAAGCAACGGUUUUCAAAACCGUCGACCAUAGGUUCGAGUCCUAUACUCUCUG